rnacentral:misc_RNA from 1 species
GAGGAGAUUUCUGCUCAGGUAUAAACUUAAAUUCUGUUAUAAUCUGUGGUGGUUGAUUCUUUUAGAUUAAUAUUGCUCUUGGAAUAACUUGGUGUUGGUUGACGUUGCUUUAAAAAUAAUGUGAACUCUUGUGUUGAGCAGCUUUUAUUCCGCAUAAAAGUUUGCAUGGAGGAAAGUUGUUUGCCAUUGUUGUACUAGUAUAUUGUAUUUAACUUUGUUUUGUCUAGCAAUUAACUAGAAGAUUGUGGAAUGAAUGGAUUAGUUAUGGUGCUCAGGUUCUUGAGGUACAAUUACUAAGUUUUUGCAAAAGAUUUUCGCUGUGAAGUUUUGAGGAAUUUGUAUUAAAUUGGAGUAUGUGACUGCAGGCGUGCUUUUAUAUUCACAUUUUCUUUCGUGAUUGGGAUACAGUUUGGACUUUUAAAUUUGAGGAUAAUUGAUUGCCAAUGAUUUGUUGGUUUUUCAAAUAUAGGUUUUGAGGAAGCUUGUGGAC